CUGGGAUCGCAGGGCCGGAGUUCUCUGAAGGAUCAGAGAGGCUCGAGUCUGUGAGAAAGGAACAGACGCCAGCUCGGCCUUGUGAAUCGUGUUUGAAUGUGUUACUGUUGAGUGACAGCUGUCAGUCAUGAUUUGGUCAAAAUAAAGUGGACUUUGUAUUGGUGACACAUUAUUGAUACGUAAUUAUAAAUAAAGUUCCGUAUAAAACAGCUGCUAAACGUGAAAAUAAACAUGAAUGUCGAAUUCGUGAGUUCUUUCUGCCCACAGUCGCUGCGACAACAGCUCAGGAGCCGACUGGUGAUUUGUCAGAACUUUUAAAGUCCUUGAGGUUGUUUGUGGAGCAGCUGGACGUUCCUUAUUCACGGCAUCAUUCAGUCAUGUUAUAUUAUUCCGGUGCAGUAGGUGGCGGUGUACACCUACCUCACAGUGGUGCAAGCCGCCACAAAUCAAACAUGAAGAAGACGACGGGCGCGUGUCAGGCCGUGUUCGCGGAGGUGGCUUGGAACGAAAUGAAAUAAAACUAAAUUAAGUUAUCGGCGCGUUUCCAGCAAAGACUCCCGUUUGUGCGCAGAAACCAGCGAAGAAGAUGAAGCUUCGAGCCGCAGCGGCGGAGAAACGAACAGGUGACUCAUCAAGCUGAUGCUCGAUUGGCACCAACAUGAAGAAAAAUCCACAAAAAUGGACCACGAAGCAAAAGGCAACUUAUUCUCUGAACCUCCAGCAAAUGUGGAGAAUUAUCUCCAACGUAACGUGUCUGAGCGAUGCCUGGAAAGAGUUUGUCACUGCACAGAGAAGUUAAGGGUCGUAAGGUCACUGUGCAGAGGGGUUAGGGGUCGUAAGGUCACUGCAGAGAAGUUAGGGGUCGUAAGGUCACUGCAGAGGGGUUAGGGGUCUCCACGCUCAAAUGUUAUUGGCUGUUUUCUUGACUGAUUUUCUAAUAAAGUUUGAGGGAAAAGUGGUUUGUUUGUGGUUUUGAUUUAAAGCUGUUUUCUUUUUUUUCAUGAGGUUCGUUGCCUCACACAGCGGUCUGUCCAAUCAGAAGUCAGUCAAAUUUAACGUUGUGCUCCACCCACAUUGUGACAUCACUGAAGUUGACCACGCCCAUCUCACUGGUGUGUAGCUGUUUCUGGGAAAUGAUGUUAACAAAAGGCCGAAUUAUAGCGCCCCUGUCAGGCAGUGUGUUCUCAGCACGGGGGCGUAGUGACAAAAAACAGACCGAAGCGUUAAUCUGAUCCCAGGACAGCACACGCUGUUUGUGUGUGGCUUCUGAUGUCCCAUGUGGUGAC